rnacentral:tRNA from 2 species
GCCCGCUUAGCUCAGUGGUAGAGCGCCGCUUUCACACAGCGGAAGUCAGUAGUUCGAGUCUACUAGCGGGCA